GACGGAGGGUGCAAGCGUUGUUCGGAAUCACUGGGCGUAAAGCGCGUGUAGGCGGUUGAAUAAGUCGGAUGUGAAAGCCCGGAGCUCAACUCCGGAAGUGCAUUCGAAACUGUUCGGCUCGAGUACGGGAGAGGGAAGUGGAAUUCCUGGUGUAGAGGUGAAAUUCGCAGAUAUCAGGAGGAACACCGGUGGCGAAGGCGGCUUCCUGGACCGAUACUGACGCUGAGACGCGAAAGCGUGGGGAGCAAACAGG
rnacentral:rRNA from 1 species